UCAGUUGACUAUUUUCAUCGGUUGUUUUAAUUCACUCCUAACAAACAGUAUAAACGUUAAACUUUUGUAACGCUUUUGUAAUUCUUUUUUCUUUUCGUUUGGUUGUAGAAGAGUCCAAUCCAGAGCAAUCCAAAUCUAAAUUUUAUUUAGCACUAAACCAAAUGUAGGUUGAACUAGCAUAUUUGGGUUUUGGAGAGGAAUGGCAUAUGAACCCAUUAAAAACAAAUGAAAAAUGUUCCUGAUGGUAAACUCAAGGUUUAGCAGUACUGUAUUUGAAGUUGACAUGUAUGUAAUGGCUCAUCUCUGACCUCGAUGCGAUUUUCCCAUUUCUCCCUUUUGAAUUACGUAACAUCUGUAAUUUGGCAUAAAUUGAUUGUCAACAGAAAAGCCAGCAAAUGGACACUACGGAGGUUAUAAACCCAUAAUAUGCAUUUAGGAUGUUCUAAAAUAACUAUUUCUUGUAUACUUUUAUUUGUUAAAAUAAACUAUUUUAUUUA